rnacentral:rRNA from 1 species
AUUGAACGCUGGCGGCAGGCUUAACACAUGCAAGUCGAGCGGGGAAAUGUAGCUUGCUACAUAACCUAGCGGCGGACGGGUGAGUAAUGCUUAGGAAUCUGCCUAUUAGUGGGGGACAACAUUCCGAAAGGAAUGCUAAUACCGCAUACGUCCUACGGGAGAAAGCAGGGGACCUUCGGGCCUUGCGCUAAUAGAUGAGCCUAAGUCGGAUUAGCUAGUUGGUGGGGUAAAGGCCUACCAAGGCGACGAUCUGUAGCGGGUCUGAGAGGAUGAUCCGCCACACUGGGACUGAGACACGGCCCAGACUCCUACGGGAGGCAGCAGUGGGGAAUAUUGGACAAUGGGGGGAACCCUGAUCCAGCCAUGCCGCGUGUGUGAAGAAGGCCUUUUGGUUGUAAAGCACUUUAAGCGAGGAGGAGGCUACUUAGAUUAAUACUCUAGGAUAGUGGACGUUACUCGCAGAAUAAGCACCGGCUAACUCUGUGCCAGCCGCCGCCGUAACAC